GAUGAACGCUAGCGGCAGGCCUAAUACAUGCAAGUCGGACGGGAUUGGGGAGCUUGCUCCCCAUGAGAGUGGCGCACGGGUGCGUAACACGUAUGUAACCUACCCUUGUCAGGGGGAUAGCCUCUCGAAAGAGAGAUUAAGACCGCAUAACAUUACAAUGUGGCAUCACAAAGUAAUCAAAUAUUUAUAGGACAAGGAUGGGCAUGCGGAACAUUAGCAGUUGGUAAGUAACGGCUUACCAAGGCUACGAUGUUUAGGGGAUCUGAGAGGAUGACCCCCCACACUGGUACUGAGACACGGGACCAGACUCCUACGGGAGCAGCAGUAAGGAAUAUGUCAAUGGGCGAAGCCUGAACCAGCCAUGCCGCGUGC
rnacentral:rRNA from 1 species